rnacentral:misc_RNA from 1 species
AGUUCCAGAACAUUUUUUAAAUGGUUCUGGAUUAGGUUGAUAUAUCUGUGUAACUUGGCUAGAAAGAGGUUCCUCCUCAUUACUCGCAAUUAUAGUCUCACGUAUUUCGGGCGCUUCAUCAUCUCUAGUCACCCCAUCAUCUAAGUGAAUUUCCUGCUGCACUUCAGUGUCUAAAUUAACAUCAUUAUUAUCUUCAGCAGUACAUUUCUCUCUAGGAGCUUCAGAAUAUUCUUCCACUGCAACAGGAACAAAUGGAUCUUGCAUUUGAGUAGGGGGAUUUGGGACUAGUUCUUCCACCUUGCUUCUGUUAGCAAUUGGAACUUUUAAUAGCAUUUCAGAAUCAGAACUUGAGAUGGUGCACAAGUCUUCUUUAGCUGUGCUCCCUCCAAUAACUUCAGAAAAUCCUUCCACUGAAGCUGUAGUAGGCUGUUCUACUUCCAUUUGUGUUACAGAACACAAGAUAUGUUCUGCCUUCCUUUCAUUUGUGGUCUGAAUUGCCUGCAGCACUCCAUUCUCUGAAGUCGCACCAUUGCAAAAUUUGACUGCUGCACAGGGCUCCCUGGAAAUUUCAGAACAUUCAUCCACAGAGACAUGAUUUGGGUGAUUUACCAAUCUAACAUUACUCGGAAUGAGUUCCUCCCCAUUAAUUCCACCAGUAAAUUGAACUUCAUGCUGCAGUUUAUCUUCUGAAAAACAGGUCUCUUGUGAAAAUUCAGCCUUUUCUUCCAACGACGAAGCAAGCUGAUUUAUUGAUGUGUCAUCAAAUAAAAUGCUCUGGCUACCUUUACCUUUGCCAGUUUGAAGAUCUACUUGCACUUCAUUGCCCAAAGUGACGCAAUCACUAAUCUCAUUAUUCAUGCAAGAUUUCUCUACAACUACAUUCUCCAUUUGUCCCACAGGUGUACAAGCAUGUAAACUUGCUGGAGCAGCAAGACCAGUAAUCUCAUUUGCCAAAACAUCUCUACUAGCCAGGACUUUGUGCUGUCCUUCAGAAACCAUAUUACAAGUCUCAUUCCUGAGGCUGAACUUUUCCAUUAUUUGACACUCUCCUUGCAUCCCAGAUCUUUCAUCAGCUGCAAUGACACAUGGACUAGAGCAUUCAAUGGCAUUAGAAUCCUCAACCUGACAGGUUCCUGCAGUGACCCUUUCUUUGCGCUGCAUCCCCAAACUACCACAGGCUGCUACAUUGCAUAAAAUCUCAUAGCCAUUUGAUUCUUCCAAAGUUUGAUUCUCAACUUCCCCCACAUGCUCAACAGCUACAUUAGCAGUUAGAAGGGAGCCUGCAACAUGUAGAGGUGCAGAAUUCAAGCUCAUAUCACCAGUUGCUUCAAGCACCUUCACUUCAUGCAGCAUUCCAGACAUUCCAAGGCGAGAGAAAUCAAAUCCUGCAGAAU